rnacentral:rRNA from 1 species
UACGUAGGCAGCGAGCGUUGUUCGGAGUUACUGGGCGUAAAGCGUGCGUAGGCGGUGCCUUACGUUUGUUGUGAAAUCUCCCGGCUUAACCGGGAGGGUGCGGCGAAUACUGAGAUGCUGGAGUGCCGGAGAGGUAAGCGGAAUUCCUGGUGUAGCGGUGAAAUGCGUAGAUAUCAGGAGGAACACCUGCGGUGUAGACGGCUUACUGGACGGUAACUGACGCUGAGGCACGAAAGCGUGGGUAGCAAACAGG